rnacentral:rRNA from 1 species
UACGUAGGGCGCAAGCGUUGUCCGGAAUUAUUGGGCGUAAAGAGCUCGUAGGCGGCCAGUUGCGUCCGCUGUGAAAUCCCGGGGCUUAACCCCGGGCGUGCAGUGGAUACGGGCUGGCUGGAGGCAGGCAGGGGAGAACGGAAUUCCUGGUGUAGCGGUGAAAUGCGCAGAUAUCAGGAGGAACACCAGUGGCGAAGGCGGGUCUCUGGGCCGUAACUGACGCUGAGGAGCGAAAGCGUGGGGAGCGAACAGG